GGGUUGUGAGGUUAAGCGACUAAGCGUACACGGUGGAUGCCCUGGCAGUCAGAGGCGAUGAAGGACGUGCUAAUCUGCGAUAAGCGCCGGUAAGGUGAUAUGAACCGUUAUAACCGGCGAUUUCCGAAUGGGGAAACCCAGUGUGACUCGUCACACUAUCAUUAACUGAAUCCAUAGGUUAAUGAGGCGAACCGGGGGAACUGAAACAUCUAAGUACCCCGAGGAAAAGAAAUCAACCGAGAUUCCCCCAGUAGCGGCGAGCGAACGGGGAGGAGCCCAGAGCCUGAAUCAGCAUGUGUGUUAGUGGAAGCGUCUGGAAAGGCGCGCGAUACAGGGUGACAGCCCCGUACACAAAAGCGCACAUGCUGUGAGCUCGAUGAGUAGGGCGGGACACGUGGUAUCCUGUCUGAAUAUGGGGGGACCAUCCUCCAAGGCUAAAUACUCCUGACUGACCGAUAGUGAACCAGUACCGUGAGGGAAAGGCGAAAAGAACCCCGGCGAGGGGAGUGAAAAAGAACCUGAAACCGUGUACGUACAAGCAGUGGGAGCCCCACCACUAAGCCAGUGGUGAAAUCCACAUACGCAUCCUUUGCUGAGGAUACGGUUAACGGAGCGCAAGCGACGUUCAACCUCAAAAGAAGCAGAGGGGGCUUAGUGGUGG
rnacentral:rRNA from 1 species